rnacentral:sRNA from 1 species
GGUUCCUUUUCUUUUCUCUCCAGAACACUCUCCCUCUCUUUUCUCCUUCGCCGCCGGCGUAAGCUCUUUCCUUCUUCUUUUUUGUUUUCUUCCCUCUCUCUUCCUCACCUUUCUCCGUAACCGUCUGCAGCUUUCUCCAUCGGCGUCUUCUUAUCUCCUUCUCUUCUCCCUAUCUUUCUUUGUUAUUUUCUUCUAUCUUCCUUUGUUGGUUCUUCUACCUCCUGGCCCCCCUUCAAAAACCUUCUCCAAUGGAAAAUCUGCCGUUCAUCCUUGCUGCCGACUACCCAAAACCCCACCUUCUUGCCGGCCUUUUCAUAAUCGGAUCUCUGUCUUUCUCCUUUAGCCGGCCAUACCACCUUCACACCCUCCAAAUUCAUCACAAAUCCGAACCCACAUUCGUGGGUCAUUGCCAAGUUCUUAAUUUUCUUUUUUUUUGUAUUAUUUUUGUAUUUUGUGUUUGAGUGCUUGGUCUGCUACUGUGGUUGUGCAUCGAGUCUGCGUUUGGAAAUGGGUUUUGAUAUGAGGGCUGAUAUUCACUUUAGUCUUUGAAUGGUUGAAAACUUUGCUACUUAAAUUAUUUGCUCGGCUUUUGUUUGCUCAUCUCUGCAUCGUCUACUGUUAUUGUCUACAUCUUCCAACACUCUCUAUUAGUGUCACUUAGCACAGAAUGACAAAACAAAUUGAGAAAGGCAAGGCAAAAUUGUUUAAUGCCAAAAGAAGGAAGCAUUCCAAAGCACACUGAUGAUUCAUUUUCAUUUGUGGUUUAUGCAAAAAUGAUGGUAUGAAUUAAUCUUACUUCGCAUUUAUAUGUAUGGUUUUUCUUCAAACUAAAUUUAAAUUGUAUGUUUAGUAAUUUGACUUUGGUUUUUCAUUACAUGUUAUUUAUAUAUAUCGAUUAUGAUUGAGCAUAUAUAGUUGUAAAUAAAUGCAGGCAAUUGAGAUGAAACGAGAUAUUAGUUUUUUGGAAGUGUUCAACCGCACUCAUAAGCGCUCAAGGGGCCAUGGUAUUUUAUAAAUAAUAAGUCCAAGUCUACGAGUGUACGUAUAAAAUUGAUUUAUUUUUACUUUAAAGUUGACAACUUAGCUGAAUAAUAAUUUUGAUUAAUUUUUUAUGUAAGAAAUGUAUAAUUUUGUACUAUCACAGAGUAUGGUGAGGAUUUAUAUUCUCAGUCAGAAUUAGAUCCGCAUGCUUGGACUGAAGCAAUUGGAGUGAUGGAAACUACACUGUCAAACCCUAUUCUAUAAAAUA